CCAGUCAUCUUGCUAAUCAUAGGAAGUCUGACCUGCCCAGUGAAUAAUUUUUUAACGGCCGCGGUAUUUUGACCGUGCAAAGGUAGCAUAAUCAUUAGUCUUUUAAUAGAAGGCUGGCAUGAAUGGUUUGACGAGGUGCUGACUGUCUCAUUUAAUUUUUUAUUAGAAUUUAACUUUUUAGUCAAAAGGCUAAAAUAUACUUGGAAGACGAGAAGACCCUAUAGAGCUUUAUAAUAAUUUUGAUUAAUCAUAUUUGGUUAAAUUUCUUUGAUUAUUCUAGUUAUUAUUUUGUUGGGGGGACAAAAAUAUAUAAAUAACUUUUUUAUUUAUUUUACAUUAAUUUAUGAUCAUCGGAUCCAUUCAUAGUGAUUAUUAGAAUAAGUUACCUUAGGGAUAACAGCGUAAUCUUCUUUCAGAGUUCAAAUUUACAAGAAGGCUUGCGACCUCGAUGUGGGAUUAAGAUAAUAAUUAGGAGCCGCCGCUUAGUUAAUAGGUCUGUUCGUCCA
rnacentral:rRNA from 1 species